CCCUUAGAUGUCCCGGGCCGCACGCGCGCUACACUGAGUGUCUGAGAUACGAGUCUGCCCGGUCCGGCAAGGUCUAGGUAAUCGCUAAAAGACACAUCAUGCUUGGGAUAGAUUAUUGCAAAUAUUAAUCUUGAACGAGGAAUUCCUAGUAAGCGCAAGUCAACAGCUUGCGUUGAUUACGUCCCUGCCCUUUGUACACACCGCCCGUCGCUACUACUGAUUGGAUGUUUAAGCGAGGUUCUCGAACUGCUAGCGACUUAGCUUCGGUGAGGUCGCAGUGUGGGAAGUGAACCUAGCUUUGGUGUCUAGAGGAAGUAAAAGUCGUAACA
rnacentral:rRNA from 1 species